rnacentral:rRNA from 1 species
GAUGAACGCUGGCGGCGUGCCUAAUACAUGCAAGUCGAGCGAACAGACGAGGAGCUUGCUCCUCUGACGUUAGCGGCGGACGGGUGAGUAACACGUGGAUAACCUACCUAUAAGACUGGGAUAACUUCGGGAAACCGGAGCUAAUACCGGAUAAUAUAUUGAACCGCAUGGUUCAAUAGUUAAAGACGGUUUUGCUGUCACUUAUAGAUGGAUCCGCGCCGCAUUAGCUAGUUGGUAAGGUAACGGCUUACCAAGGCAACGAUGCGUAGCCGACCUGAGAGGGUGAUCGGCCACACUGGAACUGAGACACGGUCCAGACUCCUACGGGAGGCAGCAGUAGGGAAUCUUCCGCAAUGGGCGAAAGCCUGACGGAGCAACGCAGCGUGAGUGAUGAAGGUCUUCGGAUCGUAAAACUCUGUUAUUAGGGAAGAACAAAUGUGUAAGUAACUAUGCACGUCUUGACGGUACCUAAUCAGAAAGCCACGGCUAACUACGUG